GAUGAACGCUGGCGGCGUGCAUAACACAUUCAAGUCGAACGGACAGUAGAAAUACUGUUAGUGGCGGACGGGUGAGUAACGCGUGAGCAAUCUGCCUUCGAGUGCGGAAUAACAGGGAGAAAUCGCUGCUAAUACCGCAUGAUACAGUCGAGUCGCAUGGCUUGACUGUCAAAGAUUUAUCGCUCGAAGAUGAGCUUGCGUCCGAUUAGGCAGUUGGGGGGGUAACGGCCUACCAAACCGACGAUCGGUAGCCGAACUGAGAGGUUGAACGGCCACAGUGGAACUGGGAUACGGUCCAGACUCCUACGGGAGGCAGCAGUGGGGAAUAUUGGGCAAUGGGCGAAAGCCUGACCCAGCGACGCCGUGUGAGGGAAGAAGGUCUUCGGAUUGUAAACCUUUGUCAACAGGGACGAACAAAUGACGGUACCUGUGGAGGAAGCCACGGCUAACUACGUGCCAGCAGCCGCGGUAACAC
rnacentral:rRNA from 1 species